UAGAGUUUGAUCCUGGCUCAGAUUGAACGCUGGCGGCAGGCCUAACACAUGCAAGUCGAACGGUAUGCUAGCAGCAGCCAUGAACUGCAUGCACAGAGGAGCUUGCUCCUUGGGUGACGAGUGGCGGACGGGUGAGUAAUGUCUGGGAAACUGCCCGAUGGAGGGGGAUAACUACUGGAAACGGUAGCUAAUACCGCAUAACGUCGCAAGACCAAAGAGGGGGACCUUCGGGCCUCUUGCCAUCGGAUGUGCCCAGAUGGGAUUAGCUAGUUUGGAUCGCUACGAUGCUAGCCUGCAUGCCUACGACAGGUGGGGUAACGGCUCACCUAGGCGACGAUCCCUAGCUGGUCUGAGAGGAUGACCAGCCACACUGGAACUGAGACACGGUCCAGACUCCUACGGGAGGCAGCAGAAUUGACGGGGGCCCGCACAAGCGGUGGAGCAUGUGGUUUAAUUCGAUGCAACGCGAAGAACCUUACCUACUCUUGACAUCCAGAGAACUUAGCAGAGAUGCUUUGGUGCCUUCGGGAACUCUGAGACAGGUGCUGCAUGGCUGUCGUCAGCUCGUGUUGUGAAAUGUUGGGUUAAGUCCCGCAACGAGCGCAACCCUUAUCCUUUGUUGCCAGCGGUUCGGYCGGGAACUCAAAGGAGACUGCCAGUGAUAAACUGGAGGAAGGUGGGGAUGACGUCAAGUCAUCAUGGCCCUUACGAGUAGGGCUACACACGUGCUACAAUGGCAUAUACAAAGAGAAGCGACCUCGCGAGAGCAAGCGGACCUCAUAAAGUAUGUCGUAGUCCGGAUUGGAGUCUGCAACUCGACUCCAUGAAGUC
rnacentral:rRNA from 1 species